rnacentral:rRNA from 1 species
UACAGAGGUCUCAAGCGUUGUUCGGAUUCAUUGGGCGUAAAGGGUGCGUAGGUGGCAUGGUAAGUCGGAUGUGAAAUCCCGGGGCUCAACCCCGGAACUGCAUUCGAUACUGCUGCGCUAGAGUACUGGAGAGGAGAUUGGAAUUUACGGUGUAGCAGUGAAAUGCGUAGAUAUCGUAAGGAAGACCAGUGGCGAAGGCGGAUCUCUGGACGGUUACUGACACUGAGGCACGAAGGCCAGGGGAGCAAACGGG